GGAUGCGCAUACCUAACAAGUGUGUGUGCACAAGAUGUGAGUGUACUCAGCUGUAUCUGCACACAUUUUUUGUAAUUAAUCUCUCAUUUUAAAUAUAAAAUGGAAAUUUCUGAAGUUAAUGGAUAUGAUAGCUUGCAGUUUCCAUGCAUGGCCUUUCCCAUUAAUUGCUGACAUCAAAUUAGUCACACCAUUAGAAACUGAAGCUGAACCUUGGCUAUUCACAGCCUUGGCCUUCUGACAAAAGAGCCUCAGGAGCUUGUCACAUUGCUUCCAGUUACAGAAAAAUACACAUCUCCUUCCUGACAGAAGAGCUGCAUCCUCAGGAUACUCCUUACAGCUCAAGGCUGAAGGAGGACUGAGUUGCAGACUGCAAUGAACAGCAGUUAUUGAAAUCUGAAAAGCUGAAGAUUGGCGAAAUCCUGGGGGGAAGCUGCAAUGCCAGGACCAAAGGACCAAAGUGGAGGAAAAAUAUCCGUGACUAGAAGAAAGAAGAGGGCAUUCAGUUACACUGAAUUUUGCAACUAUUUGUUCUUCCAUUCCAUUUAAGUAUACAGAAAAAUGGAAAUGCUGCAUCACUGUGUCACUUGCAUGAUCUACUGCUGUUUGUUGAUCCCUCCCUCAGGAAGACACAAAAGAGACCACUAUUCUCAUCACCUCUGCAUCUAUAAAAGAAGUCAGCUGUAUCCCUGAUACUAUCUGAGGUGCUGAUUGCAGAGCACAGUACCAACAGCCUUGCAGCAGUAUUUCCCACAGUAUCUCAUUUUGGAGAGGAAAAUGGUUCAAGAAGGAUUGUACAGCCAAAGGCACAUUUUGGGAAAUGUAAUGUCUAGCUGGAUAGCCUGGAAAUGGAAAAGAAUAAAGACACAAGACAUCUGUUCUGCAGCACCACUAAGGAACGGCAGUAACACGUACCCUGAAAUACUGGAUUCUUGGCCAACUCUUUGUCCCAUGCUUUCAUUUUUAGGCUCUCAGCUUUCCAAAGAACAAUACGUAUUUUGUGUGGGAAAGCCCGCUCUUUCAAGAAGAAGAAAGGAUCUUAAUUUCAAGUCUUGACAGAUUUUUUCAGCUAACCUUAGAAAAUCUGAAUUAUACCUAUCAUCAAAAUCCACGUCUCCUUCACUGCUUCUGUGGGAUUUGUUUUUGUUUGUUUGUUUGUUUGUUUUUGUUGGUUUAUUUUGUUUAUUUUAUUUUGGUUUUGGUUCUAAGUCAAUUUCUGUCAAUUUCCAGUAUGUCACUGGAUCAUACUGUAGAAGGAACUUGCUGAGAUAAGGAUAGGGUAUAUAUUAAAUGGAGGGUUUGUCUUCAAUGCAAUGGCAAAGGGUUAUAGCUGUAGACCAAGUCUAUCAUAUUUCUUAGUGAGAUGGAAGAUGUAAGGAUUUAAUGUUUAUUGAUUUUUAAAAAGCUCAGGGACUUUGAUUAGCACUGGUUUACUGGCAAUUAGACACUUAGGCUAGGCUGACUGUGCAAGCUUCUCUCAUAGUUAACAGGAAGGAUCCUUAUGAAGGAGAUUUUCCUUACCUUCUCAGGUAUCUCU
ensembl:lncRNA